rnacentral:misc_RNA from 1 species
AAGUCGUAACAAGGUUUCCGUAGGUGAACCUGCGGAAGGAUCAUUAAUGAAAUGAUGAUUUUUUGGGGUUUUUUAAAUUCCAAAAAAUAAUUCACCUUUUGUGCAUUGUUAUAAGAUAUACUUUGGUUAGAGCUUUGAUUUCAUAUUUUUGAAGUCAACUUCUUGCUAACUCUAUCCUUUCUGAGGACAGUUGGCUAUGAAGCGGCCUACCAAGGUUUUUUUAUCAAACUCUUGUAUUUUUGUCUGACCUAAAAUCAAAUAAUUAAAUCAUAACUUUCAACAACGGAUCUCUUGGCUCUC